rnacentral:rRNA from 1 species
UGCCAGCCGCCGCGGUAAUACGGAGGGUGCAAGCGUUGUCCGGAUUUAUUGGGUUUAAAGGGUGCGUAGGCGGUACGUUAAGUCAGUGGUGAAAUCUCUCGGCUCAACCGGGAAACUGCCAUUGAUACUGGCGUACUUGAGUAUGGACGAGGUAGGCGGAAUUUAUGGUGUAGCGGUGAAAUGCAUAGAUACCAUAAAGAACACCGAUAGUGAAGACAGCUUACUAGACCAUAACUGACGCUGAGGCACGAAAGCGUGGGGAGCGAACAGGAUUAGAUA